rnacentral:lncRNA from 1 species
CCUCAGCCUCCCGAGUAGCUGGGACAACAGCUUUCAUUGCACACAGUUAAGAAUUCAGAAUUGUUCAUUUUCCUACAAAGAGGAAAGAGAAGGAAACUGACAGAGGAAGACAUUUCACAGCUAUUAGAGCAAUCAGUAGAUGAAUGCAACGCGACAAACAGCAGCACUCUAGACUGUAAUGAUGAGGUAAAAGCAUCGUAUGAGCAAAAUCUUCAGAUGAUGACAUCAUGCAUGAAUUUUCUCAAACCCAAGAAUUGUCCCUAUUUUCCCAGGGGUAGGGGAGAACUAGAGAGGGAUGGCUCUUUGCCCAGGGUCACUCAGCUCUUGCUCUGUCCUGUUGCUCAGAGAUCUGUGACUGAGCCAGCCCCUCCUGUAGCAUACAGUAGAUGCUGCCCCGCAGGAUGGGACAGGGCUGGACCUUGAGGUGAAGAGGCUGUCUGGAUACCUGCUCCUGACUGCUAGCUCUUCGCCCACCUCACCUGCCACCUGUCCUUUGGCGUUGGGUUCUUGAGGCCGUGGUUUCCCUCUGGGUGGUGACUCAGUGCCCACAGCCCGCCUUGCAUGUGAUCUUCCCCUCCCCUGGGCCUCACUGACUGCCCCAGCAAGAGGCAGCUGUGGUUUCCCCUGAAGCAGCAACCACGAACUGCCAAGCCCACCCCACCCCUCCGUGUCCUAGCCCCAACCUCGGGGCCUCAGCUGAAGGAGAGAUGGGGAGGCCUCAUAGGCCCAUGGCACUUGGUGUUUACAACGAGCUUAGCCCUCACAGCAUGAGUGUGGAAAGUAUUAUCCCUAUUCAAUUGAUGAGGAGAGUGAGGCCAACAUGUGUGAGGGGCUUAUUUCAUUUAUGCAUUCAUUUAUUCUACAAGCGUCUCUCAAAAGCCCACUAAAACCCAGGACAGUAGACCCAGAGACACGAUGUCCAGAUGUACCUCAGGAAGGACUGGCCCUGGCGGCGGGAGGGUCGUGAGUGCUCAGCUCUCCAGGGAUUGCCCCCAGCUGCAGAGAUUUGCCUCCUCUGCCUCGGCCUCCCAUGCCUUUCUCUGGGCAGCCUCAUAUCCAAGGACUAAUCCAGCUGGGUACUAAUUCAGGCCCGGCUAUUUAAGCCCUGUGUGGGGCGGUGACAGGUCAUUCGGAGCUCCCAGUGAGGCAGCUGAGGCCAGGGUUGGGCCUGUCUUGCAGCUGGACUUCUUCUCCCUCUGCCCAGUUUGGCCUCUUUGCCUUCCCUUCUCCAGGUGCUGUCUGCAAGAGCUCUCCCUAACAGACAUCCCUCACAGUAACUCCGAGCCCAAAUCCACUUCCUGAGGAACCCACCCUGCAACCCUCGGCUUUCAAAGAGUGGCCAGCCUCAUGGCACAGAGGCAUGUAAACCACCCGGGUGGGGAGAGAAUAGGCCCAGGGAGACACAGCCACCGGGGCCCAGAAAGCUGGCUUUGGUUUUGUGGGGGGUGUGGGCCGCAGAGUUCAGGAUUGGGGCGUGGCAGCAAGGCAGGGGCCCAAGCGCCUGAAAACCACAGCCCACCCCCUUGGCUUGGAGAAGGGCGAGGUCCCCACCUGUCUACCAUGAUUUUCUCAGACCCAGUCUGCUCCAAUAAGCAGCCCCCGCUCGGCUGGACCGUCUCCCAAUUUCCCUUCCCAAAUACAUACUCUGACUGUGGGUCUAGAUGCCUCCUACAUCCUGAGUGCCUUGUGGCCAGCCAGCAGCAGCAGCAGAGCUGCCCAGAGGAACUGUGCUGGAUCUAGUAGGGGGAGAAGGGAGAACAGGCCCUUCUGGGACCCCAAGAUCCCGUGCAGGGAGCACAUCUGGGUUCCAAACCCACAAAAGGAAACGUGGCCAAGAAAGCAACCAAUCUCCACCCCCGGCAGGGUUGGGCUGCACCGCCAUACUGUGACUGUGCUGGCUACAGUCCCAUGGCGAUGGGGAACUCACAGCCCCGUGCCCCUCCAACCAGAGGUCCCUGGGCUGGGCAACUUAGAUAAUUAGGAAGGUCUUCCUUCCCUUAAGGUCCUCCUCUGGCCUCUGGAGCUAUGGGAUCUGCUGUUCUUUGGUACCAGUAAUCCACAUGUGAGGCCCCAUUUUUCUCCUAAGUCACUGUAGGAUCUUGGGCCUCAGUUCUCCAUCUGUUUAGCAAGGGAGAGCAGAGGAGAGCCAGUCCUUCCACUUCCCACCUGCCCUGACAUUUUAUGACUCAGUGAUACACUGACGCCUGUCCCGUUCUGCCUCCUUGCCUUCUCUCCUCCAAGUUGCCCAGCUCCAUCACCUUCCCUGCCCCUCCCUUGACCUUCCACCUCCCCUGGGCUGACAAGAGCUGAGGGUGGUCAGAAGUCGGCCCGGCUUCCCACCUGACACAGAGGACUGCUCGAAGGAGAUGCUGGUCACUAAGAGCAGGGCAGCAGCUGUAACAAGCCAGCAUUCUGGAAGCUCCUGGAAAUCAUAUUGCAGAAUGCUGGCCUGGCAAGGGGUGAGGGUAAGGGUCUAGGGUGGGGAACAGUGAGUUCUAUAUAGCAGGGGAGCCAGGACAAGUGCUGUCCAUGCUGGAAUGCUUCGUUCUGAGCAAGAAUGACAUCACAGACAACCCCUGCUCCAUGCUUAUUACCAUGGGCUGCCCAAACCCCCACCCACACAGGGAGGGCAGCGGGAGGGGACAGAAAUGAAUGGGCACAAGCUGUGGCAUAAAUUCUGGUGGAGGAUGGAGGGAAACGAUGCCAGAGCAUCUAGCCAGGCCAUAGCCUCACAAGCUCUGUCCCUGAGACAGGAUUUCUGCAACACUGGAGAGGGAUGGUACCCAGCCAUCCAUGACUUCUGUGCCAGGCCCGACUUGUGUUUAAUUGUAUACAUUAUUAAUGGAACUGGUGGCAAGGGGCUGGGGCUCAGUCUGUGACCAGCAUCAGGGCUCAGUCUAUGACCAGGUUCAGUGCUUUAUCUAGGACCAGGACCAAGACUCAUUCUGUGGUAGGAUCAGGGCUUAGUGAGUGAUCAGGAUGAGAGCUCAGUCUGUGACGAGAUCAUGGGCUCAAGCCUAUAGCUCACAUUAAGGAUCCCCUCCGGGUGGGGCUCAGAGCCAGGGACAUUGUGGAAAGUGUCUGAAGGCAAGGUGGGGUCAGCUGGGAGAGAGGGGAGAAGUGGAAGCAUGAAGGCCAAGAGGUCCCUGGGCCUGAGGCCAGCUGUGUGAAAACAGAAAAGAGAGUCAGGACUCCAGCUCUGCCACUCACUGGCUGUGUGAUUUUGGAGAGUUACUUCCCUUUUUGAGGUCUAUGUUGUCUUGUGCGUAAAAUGGGAAUAUUAGGCCGGGCACAGUGACUCACACCUGUAAUCCCAGCACUUUGGGAGGCCGAGGCAGGCAGAUCACGAAGUCAAGAGAUUGAGACCAUCCUGGCCAACAUGGUGAAACCCCGUCUCUACUAAAAAUAUAAAAAUUAAAGCCCAGGCGAGGUGGCUCACGCCUGUAAUCCCAGCACUUCGGGAGGCCGAGGUGGGAGGAUCACGAGGUCAGGAGAUCAAGACCAUCCUGGUUAACACGGUGAAACCCCAUCUCUAUUAAAAAUACAAAAAAUUAGCCUGGCAUGGUGGUGGGCGCCUGUAGUCCCAGCUGCUGGGGAGGCUGAGACAGGAGAAUGGUGUGAACCCAGGAGGCAGAGCUUGCAGUGAGCCAAGACUGCACCACUGUACUCCAACCUGGGCAACAGAGUGAGACUGUCUCAAAAAA